AACGAACGCCGGCGGCAUGCCUAACACAUGCAAGUCGAACGAGAUCUUCGGGUCUAGUGGCGCACGGGUGCGUAACGCGUUGGAAUCUGCCCUUUGGUUCGGAAUACCCUUUGGAAACGUCUGCUAAUACCGGAUGAUGCCGAACGUCCAAAGAUUUAUCGCCAGAGGAUGAGCCCGCGUAGGAUUAGCUAGUUGGUGUGGUAAAGGCGCACCAAGGCGACGAUCCUUAGCUGGUCUGAGAGGAUGAUCAGCCACACUGGGACUGAGACACGGCAAAGACUCCUACGGGAGGCAGCAGUGUGCACCAUUGGACAUGGGGACAAAGCCUGAUCCAGCAAUGCCGCGUGAAUGAUGAAUGACUGAGGGUUGUAAAGCUCUUUUACCCGGGAUGAUAAUGACAGGCACGGGAGAAGAAGAGCCGGCUAACUCCGUGCCAGCCGACGCAGUAA
rnacentral:rRNA from 1 species